UACCACUAGGGGUGCAUUUAGCUGAGAUAGCAGAUUUCUGAUGUAUGUACAUCAGAAAGUGCUGAUCCCUUCGACUUGAUCUGGGUAAUUCUAGCGUAAGGAAGUGGUUUAGUAC
rnacentral:ncRNA from 1 species